UGGAGCUGCCCAGAAUCACUACUGCUGCUGCCAUGGGAGCUGGUAUUGGAACCACUGAUGGAGCUGCUGUGUUUAGUGAUUUUCGCGAGUUGUGACAUCGAGGAUUGAAAUUGUAGAUAAAUGCUUUUGCCAUGACAUAAUGGAACAGAUUGUUGAUUCUUUGGAAAGAGUGGCAAGUGAAACAAAUGAUGCAUGGUGCAUUUCUACCCUAAAUAGACUUAAAGAAGCUUCGCCAUUGAGCUUGAAGGUUUCCCUGAGAUCAAUACGAGAGGGUAGAUUUUAAACUCUUAACCAGUGCUUGUUGCGUGAGUACCAUACG